rnacentral:rRNA from 1 species
GAAACGACUGCUAAUACCGCAUAAGCGCACAGGAUUGCAUGAUCCAGUGUGAAAAACUCCGGUGGUAUGAGAUGGACCCGCGUCUGAUUAGCCAGUUGGCGGGGUAACGGCCCACCAAAGCGACGAUCAGUAGCCGACCUGAGAGGGUGACCGGCCACAUUGGGACUGAGACACGGCCCAAACUCCUACGGGAGGCAGCAGUGGGGAAUAUUGCACAAUGGGGGAAACCCUGAUGCAGCGACGCCGCGUGAGCGAAGAAGUAUUUCGGUAUGUAAAGCUCUAUCAGCAGGGAAGAAGAAUGACGGUACCUGACUAAGAAGCACCGGCUAAAUACGUGCCAGCAGCCGCGGUAAUACGUAUGGUGCAAGCGUUAUCCGGAUUUACUGGGUGUAAAGGGAGCGCAGGCGGUACGGCAAGUCUGAUGUGAAAUCCCGGGGCUCAACCCCGGUACUGCAUUGGAAACUGUCGGACUAGAGUGUCGGAGGGGUAAGUGGAAUUCCUAGUGUAGCGGUGAAAUGCGUAGAUAUUAGGAGGAACACCAGUGGCGAAGGCGGCUUACUGGACGAUUACUGACGCUGAGGCUCGAAAGCGUGGGGAGCAGACAGGAUUAGAUACCCUGGUAGUCCACGCCGUAAACGAUGAAUGCUAGGUGUCGGGGAGCAUUGCUCUUCGGUGCC